AACGAGGCCGACCUGCGGCUGAGUUACCUGCGGAGGGAUCAUUAAAAAAAGUUGGCAAUCUACCACUACACAACACACCCUUGUGAACUUUUGUAGGCUGAGCAAUCGGUCUAUGUUUUUUUUUCUUCAUUAUAUUAACGCGCAUUGUGUUUAUGUUUUGGAAUCAAUGAAUUGUUAUGGUGAUACAACUUUCAACAACGGAUCU
rnacentral:misc_RNA from 1 species